CCUACGGGAGGCAGCAGUGGGGAAUAUUGCACAAUGGGCGAAAGCCUGAUGCAGCCAUGCCGCGUGUGUGAAGAAGGCCCUAGGGUUGUAAAGCACUUUCAGUGGGGGGGAAAGGUUGAAGGUUAAUACCCUUUGGCUGUGACGUUACCCACAGAAGAAGCACCGGCUAACUCCGUGCCAGCAGCCGCGGUAAU
rnacentral:rRNA from 1 species